GAUGAAGAACGCAGCGAAAUGCGAUAAGUAAUGUGAAUUGCAGAAUUCAGUGAAUCAUCGAAUCUUUGAACGCACCUUGCGCUCCCUGGUAUUCCGGGGAGCACGCCUGUUCGAGUGUCGCGAUAUUCUUCAAGCCUUGGAUGGAUUUUUUUUUUGUCUGUCCUUGGGCUUGGUUGUUGGGCUCUGCCGUGUCCUUCAUUGGGACGGCUGGCCUUAAAAGCAUUAGCCGAUCCUCGUGUGGUACUGGUUCUACUCAGCGUGAUAACAAUCUGAUCGUUGAGGACAUCUUCUGGAUGGCCAGUCAUCAUUUGGGUUGCUUCUAAACCGGUUUCGCAGAUUGCUCAAUCUGUGUGCCACUUUUCAGCUUUGACCUCGAAUCAGGUGGGACUACCCGCUGAACUUAAGCAUAUCAAUAAGCGGAGA
rnacentral:misc_RNA from 1 species